rnacentral:lncRNA from 1 species
AGAGAAAUUUUUGAGCUAUUUAUUCUUUUUUUUUUAGAAAAAAUUUCAAAUAUUAUCCAUGUGGUUUCACACUUUCUCACUUUAUUAAUAUCUCAUGAUUUAAAGUGUAUAAAUUUAGAGUCCUGUGGUUUCAUUUUUAUCCUUUUAUUAUCGAUUUCAUUAAUUUUUUUCGUUAAACCAAUGACAAAGUUAAAACUAAAGGGUACUAAAGUGAAUAUUCAAUAAACCUAGGUGGAGUAUCUGGAGUGUUUUGUAUAUAAUUUAACAAAAUAUUAAUGGAGAAACCGACAAAAAGAUAAAAAUAAAAUCACAUGACACUAAUUUAAUACACUUUAAACCAUAAGGUACUAAAGUGAGAAAGUGCAAAACCACAGGGAUAGCAUCUGAAGUUUACCCUUUUUUUAUAUAUAAUAGAAAACUUUCUCAUGGAGCGUGGUACCUGAGACCCAAGUUGGAAUCCUAAUUGAUUUAUAUUCACAGCUAAGUUUAUUUCUAAAUAAAAUAAAUGAAGCGGGUAGCGUGCUACCUAUCUCUCUCAAAAAAAAAAAAAAA